rnacentral:rRNA from 1 species
UACGGAGGAUGCAAGCGUUAUCCGGAAUGAUUGGGCGUAAAGCGUCCGCAGGUGGCUAUGUAAGUCUGCUGUUAAAGAGUCUAGCUCAACUAGAUAAGAGCAGUGGAAACUACAAGGCUAGAGUACGUUCGGGGCAGAGGGAAUUCCUGGUGUAGCGGUGAAAUGCGUAGAGAUCAGGAAGAACACCGGUGGCGAAAGCGCUCUGCUGGACCUUAACUGACACUGAGGGACGAAAGCUAGGGGAGCGAAUGGG